AUUGAACGCUGGCGGCAUGCCUUACACAUGCAAGUCGAACGGCAGCACGGGAGCAAUCCUGGUGGCGAGUGGCGAACGGGUGAGUAAUAUAUCGGAACGUGCCCGGUCGUGGGGGAUAACGUAGCGAAAGCUACGCUAAUACCGCAUACGAUCUACGGAUGAAAGCGGGGGGAUCGCAAGACCUCGCGCGAUUGGAGCGGCCGAUAUCAGAUUAGGUAGUUGGUGAGGUAAAGGCUCACCAAGCCGACGAUCUGUAGCUGGUCUGAGAGGACGACCAGCCACACUGGGACUGAGACACGGCCCAGACUCCUACGGGAGGCAGCAGUGGGGAAUUUUGGACAAUGGGCGCAAGCCUGAUCCAGCAAUGCGCGUGCAGGAUGAAGGCCUCGGUUGUAACUAGCUUUG
rnacentral:rRNA from 1 species